UACAGGGGGGGCAAGCGUUGUUCGGAAUUACGGGGCGUAAAGGGCUCGUAGGCGGCCAACUAAGUCCGACGUGAAAUCCCCAAGCUUAACUUGGGAACUGCGUCGGAUACUGGAUGGCUUGAAUUCGGGAGAGGGAUGCAGAAUUCCAGGUGUAGCGGUGAAAUGCGUAGAUAUCUGGAGGAAUACCGGUGGCGAAGGCGGCAUCCUGGACCGACAUUGACGCUGAGGAGCGAAAGCUAGGGGAGCAAACGGG
rnacentral:rRNA from 1 species